CCUACGGGAGGCUGCAGUGGGGAAUAUUGCACAAUGGGGGAAACCCUGAUGCAGCGACGCCGCGUGAGUGAAGAAGUAUUUCGGUACGUAAAGCUCUAUCAGCAGGGAAGAAAAUGACGGUACCUGACUAAGAAGCACCGGCUAACUACGUGCCAGCAGCCGCGGUAAUACGUAGGGGGCAAGCGUUGUCCGGAUUUACUGGGUGUAAAGGGAGCGUAGACGGCAGCGCAAGUCUGGAGUGAAAUCCCAUGGCUUAACCAUGGAACUGCUUUGGAAACUGUGCAGCUAGAGUGCAGGAGAGGUAAGCGGAAUUCCUAGUGUAGCGGUGAAAUGCGUAGAUAUUAGGAGGAACACCAGUGGCGAAGGCGGCUUACUGGACUGUAACUGACGUUGAGGCUCGAAAGCGUGGGGAGCAAACAGGAUUAGAUACCCCAGUAGUC
rnacentral:rRNA from 1 species